rnacentral:misc_RNA from 1 species
UCUCCGUUGGUGAACCGGCGGAGGGAUCAUUAUCGAGUUUAUAACUCCCAAACCCUAUGUGAACUUACCACUUGUUGCUUCUGCUCGCGCUUCGGCUCCGCCGAGGACACUUAAACUCUUUGUUUUUAUAAGCAUUUCUGAGUGUCCGAAAGCCAAAAUACAACUGAAUCAAAACUUUCAACAACGGAUCUCUUGGUUCUG